rnacentral:tRNA from 1 species
AUUGCUUUGGCAGAAUAGUGCUUUAAAUUUAGAAUUUAAUUAUAUGAUAUUCAUAGGCAAUA